CAAUAGCGUAUAUUAAAGUUGUUGCGGUUAAAAAGCUCGUAGUUGGAUCUCGGCAGGCAGGGGGUGGUUCGCUCUUAGCGCUACUGCCCCAUUUGCCUGUGUGAUUGGCGGAGGUUUCGGGGUGCUCUUCGUUGAGUGACCCGGGGCGCCGUCAGGUUUACUUUGAAAAAAUUAGAGUGCUCAAAGCAGGCUUUUCACGCUUGAAUAUUCGUGCAUGGAAUAAUGGAAUAGGAACUCGUUUCUAUUUUGUUGGUUUUCGGAAAUCGAGUUAAUGAUUAACAGGGACAGUCGGGGGCAUUAGUAUUCAGACGACAGAGGUGAAAUUCUUGGACCGUCUGAAGACUAACUACUGCGAAAGCAUUUGCCAAGAAUGUUUUCAUUAA
rnacentral:rRNA from 1 species